CGGCACCUGCGCGUGUCCCGUGCGAUCCACGUGGACGUGCCCGACCGGCCGUGUGAGUAGUCCCCGCUCUGGA
rnacentral:SRP_RNA from 12 species